GUACUAGCUACGGUGGUACAUAUUCUAGAAUUGGAACGUUAGAGAGAAGAUUAGCAUGGUCCCUGCGCAAGGUUGACACGCAAAUUCGUGACGUUUUCCACAUUUUA